rnacentral:rRNA from 1 species
AUUGAACGCUGGCGGCAGGCCUAACACAUGCAAGUCGAGCGGAUGAGUGGAGCUUGCUCCAUGAUUCAGCGGCGGACGGGUGAGUAAUGCCUAGGAAUCUGCCUGGUAGUGGGGGACAACGUUUCGAAAGGAACGCUAAUACCGCAUACGUCCUACGGGAGAAAGCAGGGGACCUUCGGGCCUUGCGCUAUCAGAUGAGCCUAGGUCGGAUUAGCUAGUAGGUGAGGUAAUGGCUCACCUAGGCGACGAUCCGUAACUGGUCUGAGAGGAUGAUCAGUCACACUGGAACUGGGACACGGUCCAGACUCCUACGGGAGGCAGCAGUGGGGAAUAUUGGACAAUGGGCGAAAGCCUGAUCCAGCCAUGCCGCGUGUGUGAAGAAGGUCUUCGGAUUGUAAAGCACUUUAAGUUGGGAGGAAGGGCAGUAAGUUAAUACCUUGCUGUUUUGACGUUACCGACAGAAUAAGCACCGGCUAACUCUGUGCCAGCCGCCGCAGUAACAC